rnacentral:misc_RNA from 1 species
GGAAUUCCGUAUAGUUCACUGCUUGAUGAUGUGGUUAGAGUGAGCUAUGGCAUCCACUUGAUGCUUGUCUUCCCAAUUGUGUUUUUCUCCCUUCGCCUUAACCUGGAUGGUCUUCUCUUUCCAUAUGCCAUUCCCAUUGCAUAUGACAACAGGAGAUUCUUCUCAAUAACUGCAGCUUUAAUGGCAUUUAUCUUUGUGGGAGCCAAUUUUGUGCCUAACAUCUGGGAUGCUUUCCAGUUUACUGGAGCGACAGCUGCUAUCGCUGUUGGUUUCAUCUUUCCAGCGGCCAUUGCACUAAGGGACACCCACGGAAUUGCAACAAAAAAUGACA